rnacentral:rRNA from 1 species
ACGCGAAGACCUUACCUACCCUUGACAUGCUAGGAAUCCCGAAGAGAUUUGGGAGUGCUCGAAAGAGAACCUGGACACAGGUGCUGCAUGGCUGUCGUCAGCUCGUGUCGUGAGAUGUUGGGUUAAGUCCCGCAACGAGCGCAACCCUCGCCUUCAGUUGCCAGCACGUUUGGGUGGGCACUCUGGAGGAACUGCCGGUGACAAGCCGGAGGAAGGUGGGGAUGACGUCAAGUCCUCAUGGCCCUUAUGGGCUGGGCUACACACGUGCUACAAUGGCGGUGACAGUGGGAAGCGAGGUCGCGAGGCCCAGCGGAUCCCGAAAAGCCGUCUCAGUUCGGAUCGCACUCUGCAACUCGGGUGCGUGAAGGUGGAAUCGCUAGUAAUCGCGGAUCAGCACGCCGCGGUGAAUACGUUCCCGGGUCUUGUACACACCG